GAUCUUUAUAUAUUAAUUAUUUAUAUAAAAGUUAGUUAAAUUGUUUUUUUAAAUAAUAAUAUAUUAUAUUGGGGUAAUAAUAAAAUUUUAAUAAUUUUUAUUUUUUAAUGUCAAUUAUAAUUGUUUAAUUGAUCCAAUAGUAUUGAUUAAAAAAUUAAGUUACCUUAGGGAUAACAGCGUAAUGAUUUUUGAGAGUUCUUAUCAA
rnacentral:rRNA from 1 species